UACGUAGGGUGCGAGCGUUAAUCGGAAUUACUGGGCGUAAAGGGUGCGUAGGCGGAUAUGUAAGUUAGAUGUGAAAUACCUGGGCUUAACCUGGGAACUGCAUUUAAGACUGCAUGCCUAGAGUUUGUCAGAGGGGGGUAGAAUUCCAAGUGUAGCAGUGAAAUGCGUAGAGAUUUGGAGGAAUACCGAUGGCGAAGGCAGCCCCCUGGGAUAGAACUGACGCUGAAGCACGAAAGCGUGGGUAGCAAACAGG
rnacentral:rRNA from 1 species